rnacentral:rRNA from 1 species
UACAGAGGCCCCGAGCGUUAAUCGGAAUUACUGGGCUUAAAGGGUGCGUAGGCGGACCAGAAAGUGCUUUGUGAAAGCCCCCGGCUCAACCGGGGAACUGCGGGGCAUACUGCUGGUCUUGAGGCAAGUAAGGGUUGCGAGAACUGUAGGUGGAGCGGUGAAAUGCGUAGAUAUCUGCAGGAAUGCCGAUGGUGAAGACGCGCAACUGGGCUUGUCCUGACGCUGAGGCACGAAAGCGUGGGGAGCAAACGGG